UGAACAGUUUUAGUGGCUUCUGUUGUUCCAGAAAGCCCUCAUGGAGAAACCUGCAGACUUCCAGUGUGAGAUGCUUGGCUCUCCAGCCUUGGGAGCUUCCUGGUGCUCUUCGUUCUUCCAGCUGCAGUUCUUCCUCCUGGACCUCUGCACACUCACCUUGUGCUGUAGACUCCACAGACACUGCUCUUGGCACUUUCUGGAAGCCUUCGGCUGCCUCCUGAAGGACGAGUGAACUGAGGGCGUAGAGCCUCAGGGCUUUCUUUCUCCAGUUGUCUUGUAGCUGCUAUUCCUGGGUGCCCGGAACUGGGAGCUCACUCUAAAGAAACAAGUGGACCACCAAGAAGAGGCCUUUACUGACCCUACACAGGGAUAGGAUUAUAUAGGAG
rnacentral:lncRNA from 1 species